rnacentral:rRNA from 1 species
GCGUGAGUGAAGAAGGCCUUCUUCGUUGUAAAGCUCUUUCGCAAGGGAAGAAAACUUACCUUUUAAUAAAGGGUGAGGUUGACGGUACCUUGAUAAGAAGCACCGGCUAACUACGUGCCAGCAGCCGCGGUAAUACGUAGGGUGCAAGCGUUAAUCGGAAUUACUGGGCGUAAAGCGUGCGCAGGCGGCCUUGAAAGUCAGAUGUGAAAUCCCCGAGCUCAACUUGGGAACUGCGUUUGAAACUCCAAGGCUAGAAUAUGUCAGAGGGGGGUAGAAUUCCACGUGUAGCAGUGAAAUGCGUAGAGAUGUGGAGGAAUACCAAUGGCGAAGGCAGCCCCCUGGGAUAAUAUUGACGCUCAUGCACGAAAGCGUGGGGAGCAAACAGGAUUAGAUACCCCGGUAGUCCACGCCCUAAACGAUGUCUACUAGUUGUUGGUGGAGUAAAAUCCAUGAGUAACGCAGCUAACGCGUGAAGUAGACCGCCUGGGGAGUACGGUCGCAAGAUUAAA